rnacentral:rRNA from 1 species
UACGUAGGGGGCUAGCGUUGUCCGGAAUCAUUGGGCGUAAAGAGCGCGUAGGCGGCCAGAUAAGUCCGGUGUGAAAGUCAAAGGCUCAACCUUUGAAUGCCGCUGGAAACUGUCUGGCUAGAGUCCGGGAGGGGCGAGUGGAAUUCCCGGUGUAGUGGUGAAAUGCGUAGAGAUCGGGAGGAACACCUGUGGCGAAGGCGGCUCGCUGGGCCGGUCCUGACGCUGAAACGCGAAGGCGUGGGGAGCGAACGGG